rnacentral:ncRNA from 1 species
UAAGGGAGGAAAUUACUAUUAGGUUUACGAUAAAAAAAAAGUUAAAAAAAUUUAAAUUUGGUUUAUAAUUUUAUUGUUUGAUUUAUAUAAAUAUAAAUUUUAUUUUUUUAAAUAAGGAUUAGUAAUAUAAAGUUUUAAAAUUUAAGGAAACUUAGAUUUAGUAAUUUAUUAAAAUAUAAACAAAAUUUGUGCCAGCAGUUGCGGUUAUACAAAUUAUAUAAGUAAAAUUUAUUUAAUUUAAUUAAAUUGUUUAUUUAAGUUCAAAAAUAAAUUUAUUAAGUGAAAUUUUAAAUUUAUUUAAUUUUUUAAAAUAAUUUGUAAUUAGGAAAUUUAUAGAAUAAACUAGGAUUAGAUACCCUAUUAUUUUAAAUGUAAUUUUAAUAUUAAAAUAAUUAAUAGAUAUGGGCUUUAAAGUUAAAAAUUUUGGCGGUAUUUUAGUCUAUUUAGAGGAACCUGUUUUAUAAUUGAUAAUCCACAAUAAAUUUAACUUUUUUUUUUAAUUUAUAUAUCGUCGUGGUUAGAAUAUUUUAAAAGAAUAAAAAUAUUUUUUUUUUAAUUAAAAUAGAAUUCAGAUCAAGGUGUAAUUUAUAAAAAAGAAAAAAUGGGUUACGUUAAAUAAAAUUUAUGAAAAAUUAAUUUAAAUUUAAUUUGAAAUAGGAUUUAAAAGUAAUUAAAUAAAAUUAUGUUUAAUGAUUUUAGCUCUAGGAUAUGUACAUAUUGCCCGUCGCUUUCAUAUUUAAGUGAAAUAAGUCGUAACAAAGUAGAUUUAUUGGAAAAUGAAUCUAGAAUAUU